AGCUCCAAUAGCGUAUAUUAAAGUUGCUGCAGUUAAAAAGCUCGUAGUUGCAUUUCCGAGGCAAGGGAUUAGUCCGACCUUUGGUGGGUAUUUAAUCCUCUUGCCUCGUCCUUGAGUGGUGCUUCUUGGUAUUAAGUUAUCGAGGAGAUAGCCGCUCAUCGUUUACUGUGAGAAAAUUAGAGUGUUCAAAGCAGGCUUAUGCCGUUGAAUAUAUUAGCAUGGAAUAAUAAGAUAGGACCUCGGUACUAUUGUGUUGGUUUGAGAACCAAGGUAAUGAUGAAUAGGGACAGUUGGGGGUAUUCGUAUUCAGUUGUCAGAGGUGAAAUUCGUAGAUUUACGGAAGACGAACUACUGCGAAAGCAUUUACCAAGGAUGUUUUCA
rnacentral:rRNA from 1 species